rnacentral:rRNA from 1 species
UACGAAGGGGGGCUAGCGUUGUUCGGAAUUACUGGGCGUAAAGGGCGCGUAGGCGGCUUCGAUAGUCGGGUGUGAAAUGCCUGGGCUCAACCCAGGAACUGCACUCGAAACUCCGAGGCUAGAGUGUGGGAGAGGAUAGUGGAAUUCCCAGUGUAGAGGUGAAAUUCGUAGAUAUUGGGAAGAACACCGGUGGCGAAGGCGACUCACUG